rnacentral:rRNA from 1 species
GACGAACGCUGGCGGCGUGCUUAACACAUGCAAGUCGAACGGAAAGGCCCUGCUUUUGUGGGGUGCUCGAGUGGCGAACGGGUGAGUAACACGUGAGUAAUCUGCCCCUGACUUUGGGAUAACUUCAGGAAACUGGGGCUAAUACCGGAUAGGAGCUCCUGCUGCAUGGUGGGGGUUGGAAAGUUUUGGCGGUUGGGGAUGGACUCGCGGCUUAUCAGCUUGUUGGUGGGGUAGUGGCUUACCAAGGCUUUGACGGGUAGCCGGCCUGAGAGGGUGACCGGCCACAUUGGGACUGAGAUACGGCCCAGACUCCUACGGGAGGCAGCAGUGGGGAAUAUUGCACAAUGGGCGGAAGCCUGAUGCAGCAACGCCGCGUGCGGGAUGACGGCCUUCGGGUUGUAAACCGCUUUCGCCUGUGACGAAGCGUGAGUGACGGUAAUGGGUAAAGAAGCACCGGCUAACUACGUG